AGAGUUUGAUCCUGGCUCAGAACGAACGCUGGCGGCGUGCCUAACACAUGCAAGUCGAGCGCGAAUAGGGGCAACCCUUAGUAGAGCGGCGCACGGGUGCGUAACACGUGGGUAAUCUGCCCUAAAGCCUGGGAUAACCAGCCGAAAGGUUGGCUAAUACCGGAUAAGACCACGGACUCUUCGGAGUCUGCGGGAAAAGGUGGCCUCUGUAUACAAGCUAUCGCUUUUGGAUGAGCCCGCGGCCCAUCAGCUAGUUGGCGGGGUAAUGGCCCACCAAGGCAACGACGGGUAGCUGGUCUGAGAGGACGAUCAGCCACACUGGAACUGAGACACGGUCCAGACUCCUACGGGAGGCAGCAGUGGGGAAUUUUGCGCAAUGGGCGAAAGCCUGACGCAGCAACGCCGCGUGUGUGAUGAAGGUCUUCGGAUUGUAAAGCACUUUCGGCCGGGACGAAAACCCUGAGCUUAAUACGCUCAGGCUUGACGGUACCGGAAGAAGAAGCACCGGCUAACUCUGUGCCAGCAGCCGCGGUAAUACAGAGGGUGCAAGCGUUGUUCGGAAUUAUUGGGCGUAAAGCGCGUGUAGGCGGCUUUGCAAGUCGGGUGUGAAAGCCCUCGGCUCAACCGAGGAAGUGCGCCCGAAACUGCAGAGCUUGAGUACCGGAGAGGAUGGCGGAAUUCCCCAAGUAGAGGUGAAAUUCGUAGAUAUGGGGAGGAACACCGGUGGCGAAGGCGGCCCUCUGGACUGAUACUGACGCUGAGACGCGAAAGCGUGGGUAGCAAACAGGAUUAGAUACCCUGGUAGUCCACGCCGUAAACGAUGAGAGCUAAGUGUUGGGGGGGUUGACCCCCUCGGUGCCGCAGCUAACGCAUUAAGUUCUCCGCCUGGGAAGUACGGCCGCAAGACUGAAACUCAAAGGAAUUGACGGGGCCCCCACCAGCGGUGGAACAUGGGGUUUAAUUUCACGCAACCCGCAAAAACUUACCUGGGCUUGGCCUCCUUGGAAACCUUCCUAGAUGAAGGAGUGCCCCUUCGGGAACCAAGAUACCAGGGGUGCAUGGGUGGCGUCAGCUCGUGGCCUGAGAAUGUGGGUUAAAUUCCGGAACGAGCACCCCCUUUGCUUUAGUUGCCACGCAUGUGGAUCUCUACACGGACGGCCCUGGUUAAACCGGACGAAGGCAGGGAUGAUAUUAGUCUUCAUGGCUUUUAUGUCUUGAUCUGCGCCAUUGCUCUACGCCUGGUACAGCACCUUGCCCCCCCACAAGCCCCAUUUAAUUC
rnacentral:rRNA from 1 species